AUAAAAUGGGAAUAUAUACUGAUAAAAUUGGAAUGAUACAAUGAAGAUUAGGUUGGCCCAGCGCAAGGAUGACACUCACAAAUUGUGUGUGUUACAUAUAUAU